CCGGGUGAGUAACACGUAUGCAAUCCACCUGUAACAGGGGAGUAACCCGGAGAAAUCCGGACUAAUACCCCAUAAUAUGGGGCUCCCGCCAUGGAGAGUCCAUUAAAGAGAGCAAUCUUGGUUACAGACGAGCAUGCGCUCCAUUAGCCAGUUGGCGGGGUAACGGCCCACCAAGGCGACGAUGGAUAGGGGUUCUGAGAGGAAGGUCCCCCACAUUGGAACUGAGACACGGUCCAG
rnacentral:rRNA from 1 species